rnacentral:lncRNA from 1 species
UUCGUGAUUCCCAAAUUUCCAACCUCGGAUCCCGACGGCCUGUUGGACCCCUUUGGGGGAAGACUUACAUACGUCUUGCGGUACCAGCUUCAUGCUCUGUUAUUCAGAUUCCCACCCUCAAGUAAAAAUUCCAAAAGAAAAAUAUUAGCAAUAAUUAUCAAAGAAACAUUAGUAAUGCUAAAUUGAGCAACAGACCCAGCGAAAAUCUGCCUCUACGGCCAAAGAUUAACCAAAUCCUGGUGAAAGAAAUCAGCAGCAUAAAUGAAAGUUAAAAGAGAGAAAAAAGGAAAGGAGCUGCGCCGGAAUUCAGAUGCUAAGAGCUGCGCUGGAGCUUCUCCUCAAUCGCGCGACUGAGGCUGCCCUCUCGUGCGUCUCCAUGAACCCAUGAACCUGCGCUGAAUAUUGAGAAUUUCUUCCCGGGCUGAGCAGCAAGACUGAAUCUUCCUUGUGAGCCUGCGCUGCCUAUUUAGUCUUUUUCGUGAACCUGCGCUGCCUUCAAAGACUACCGUACUGCGCUGCCCUCGAGGAUUACCGCCAUGCCUGCGCUGCCCUUAAAGGUCCUCGCCUGCGCUGCCCUCUCCAGCGCUGAGCUAAGAUCAAAGCCAAAUCAUAGCCGUCAGUCCAAACUUUGAGCCAAACCACAGCAAUAUCUGGCCCGAAACCAGAAGAAAACCAUAGCAAUAUCAGGCUCACAAACUCAAGAAUCUGUACACAGAUAUAUAUAAUGCCUGCGCUGUACUAUUAAAAGAAUGUCAACGUCGAUAUUUAAACUACAUAUUCAGAUCCUAAAUAGUAGACUUCAAGCAACGUAAUCAAACAUAAUCCCACAGAUCAAUAUUCAUGAUAGACUGACAAUAAAUAGCUUAGCAUAAACGUAUAAACAAGAUUACAACCCCUCUCAAGCAAUAUUGAAACUAUAGAUAUAGAAACAAGAAUAGAGAUAUAUGCCAACACUUAAUGAAAGAUUCUUCCCUGAUAUAAUUUUAGCAUAGUGAAUGUUGUAAGUUUAGAAUGUCCAUCGGCUUGAACGGCGCAGGGUAGCAACAGAGAACACCAGAGAUUGAAUGGCAGCGCUGGCAAUUGUGGCUAUCGCCACCGUCCUUGAAAGAGAUUGAAAGAUCCGUCAUCUUUGUCAAUCCGCAUUGAGGGCUAUAUCAAGAGUGUCCAAACUUCAAAGGCAUUCCACGACUGUUUUUAUGGCGCUGUAUCCCUUCUCACGUUAAAGAAGC